rnacentral:rRNA from 1 species
CACGUAGUUAGCCGUGGCUUUCUGGUUAGGUACCGUCUCUACUAUGUAUAGUUACUACAUAAUCAUUCUUCCCUAACAACAGAGCCUUACGAACCGAAAUCCUUCUUCACUCACGCGGCGUUGCUCCGUCAGGCUUUCGCCCAUUGCGGAAGAUUCCCUACUGCUGCCUCCCGUAGGAGUCUGGGCCGUGUCUCAGUCCCAGUGUGGCCGAUCACCCUCUCAGGUCGGCUAUGCAUCGUCGCCUUGGUAGGCCUUUACCCCACCAACUAGCUAAUGCACCGCAAAGCCAUCUCAUAGUGUUAGCAAAACCAACUUUCAAACAUCAACCAUGCAGUUAAUGCUGUUAUCCGGUAUUAGCUAUCGUUUCCAAUAGUUGUCCCAGUCUAUGAGGCAGGUUCUUUACGUGUUACUCACCCGUUCGCCGCUAAGUUUUCUAGUGCAAGCACCAGAAAACUUCGCUCGACUUGCAUGUAUUAGGCACGCCGCCAGCGUUCGU